CUAAUUAAGUCUUCUUAAUUGCUGUUUUACUAAUUGGAGUAGAGUGGUUUUGUCAUGAUUUUAGCUGUUGACGAACAAUUAAGUAGAAUGCAGCAUUAAUUCCUCCUUUAACUACCGAGGAAGGCCAAGCGCAUGCUCAGACUCCAGUGAAAGAAACCAAACCUAAUCAGAGCACCGUGGUUAUUAGCACACGAGGUGGGAAGCCAAGAAACCAGCACCACUCCCCACCAAGCCAGCGGCAGGAGAUCCCCACAGCGCUCCCAGCCCAAGCAGGUCGGAUGCCACAACCUCAAGUCCUUGCACUUGCACCUUGCUCACUGACAGCGACAACCUUUGAAGGCUAUGCCAAGGUAUUUCCCAUUAGCACAGGUCUUUGCAAAAAAGAUCUCUUCCACUGCUGGUACUGGAUUCAGCCCCCUGCUACUCUGCCAGGAACAAACUUCUCAAUAUUUUAAGCACUUACAAGAAGGACCUGCGUAAAGUCUCUGUGAAUCCAGUACUGCUUUUUCACAGCAGGGAGGUAAGCCAAGGUAAAAGCUGAUGGUUCUUGGCUUUUCUAGAGCUGGCCCAUUGGUAAAAGGGCACGUCAGCCUCACUCGCUGCUGUCACAAAUACGGGGAACUUCAGGCUGACCCAUGCCUUAGACCCAUGACAAGGCAGGUGCAGCAUCAGCUUUCAUGGUUCUGGCACUGUAGAAGCCAGGAAUUAUCUGAAGUAAUUGGGAGAGAAAUUGGGCAAACUCAUUCCCCUUUUCAGCAAUAAAUCAUCUUGGGGAAAUUGGUCAAGGCCAUUUGAAAGCCCCAAGUGAUGCUCUCCCAAACACCUUUCCCUUGGGAGGCAGCUUAAGAGCAAGAUUCGAUCUGAACCAGUAGCAUUCACUGCUUUCUUACAGCUUUUAGAUCCCCUCCCCAUCCCUCCAGGAGGCCCCUGGCUGCUCCUGCUUUCAGCCCUGAUGCUCUUUCCAAAUGAGAUCAGUGCAAGCUCCCCGGGUCCCCAGUCUACACGCAAACCGCACCUUGAGGGGAACCAACAGCAGCUUCCAAACUGUGCUCUUUAUUCAGAUACUUACUGAGUUUCUCAAUCUUUUCCAACAGAGGACUAAGAGUUGUCUUCAAGCUACAGAGGAAGCUUGAAAGGCAGCAGAUCGCCCUAAGGAAGAGCAGUCCAAGACUCGGGGGACCAGGAAGGGUUUCAGGAGCCAGCUCUGAACCCCUGUUGCCUGCUACAUCACAAAGCGGCCCUUAGAUGAAUCCCACAAUCUCCCUGUCCCUCUGUUUCCGCCUACCAGAAGUGGAUAACAGCCUGUCUCUAGCAGGGAAGGACGCCUUGAUAAAUGUACUAAUUAUCACCAGACACCCCACCCAGCAAGUAAGCACAGAGGCCAUUUAUUUGCCUAAAAAACUUCCAGUUAUGAAAUCAGUGCUAGAAAAUUGUGCAAAUCAAGACCCUGGAACCUGAUUAAUUAAAUCAAUGGGAAUUACAGAAUUAAUUUAUAAGAAAACUCAAACGUAACAUGAAAUAGUUUGUAUCGAUCAACAGACAAAGUCCUUCCAUGCGCUGAGAGCAAAUCCAUUUUUA